UACGUAGGGGGCAAGCGUUGUCCGGAUUUCUUGGGCGUAAAGAGCGCGUAGGCGGCCUUACAGGUCAGCUGUGAAAACUCGAGGCUCAACCUCGAGACGUCGGUUGAAACCGUAAGGCUAGAGUCCGGAAGAGGAGAGUGGAAUUCCCGGUGUAGCGGUGAAAUGCGCAGAUAUCGGGAAGAACACCCGAGGCGAAGGCGGCUCUCUGGGACGGUACUGACGCUGAGACGCGAAAGCGUGGGGAGCGAACAGG
rnacentral:rRNA from 1 species